AGUGAACGCUGGCGGUAGGCCUAACACAUGCAAGUCGAACGGCAGCACAGGAGAGCUUGCUCUCUGGGUGGCGAGUGGCGGACGGGUGAGGAAUACAUCGGAAUCUACUCUGUCGUGGGGGAUAACGUAGGGAAACUUACGCUAAUACCGCAUACGACCUACGGGCGAAAGCAGGGGAACUUCGGACCUUGCGCGAGUGAAUGAGCCGAUGUCGGAUUAGGUAGUUGGCGGGGUAAAGGCCCACCGAGGCGACGAUCCGUAGCUGGUCUGAGAGGAUGAUCAGCCCCACUGGAACUGAGACACGGUCCAGCCUCCUACGGGAGGCAGCAGUGGGGAAUAUUGGACAAUGGGCGCAAGCCUGAUCCAGCCAUACCGCGUGGGUGAAGAAGGCCUUCGGGUUGUAAAGCCCUUUUGUUGGGAAAGAAAUCCAGCUGGCUAAUACCCGGUUGGGAUGACGGUACCCAAAGAAUAAGCACCGGCUAACUUCGUGCCAGCCGCCGCCGUAC
rnacentral:rRNA from 1 species